rnacentral:rRNA from 1 species
CCCUUAGAUGUUCUGGGCCGCACGCGCGCUACACUGAUGAAUUCAACGAGCACUAACCUGUGCCGAAAGGUUCGGGUAAUCUUGUGAAAUUUCAUCGUGAUGGGGGUUGAUUAUUGCAAUUUUUAAUCAUAAACGAGGAAUGCCUAGUAAGCGUGAGUCAUCAGCUCACGUUGAUUACGUCCCUGCCCUUUGUACACACCGCCCGUCGCUCCUACCGAUUGAAUGUGCCAGUGAAAAGUUCGGAUUGGAGAUAGGAGACGGCAACGUAUCCUAUUUCCGAGAAAAUCUUUAAACUUUCCCAUUUAGAGGAAGGAGAAGUCGUAACA